rnacentral:tRNA from 1 species
GGUUGUGGCUCAGUGGUAGAGCACUUGCCUGGCAUGGAUGAGGUACUGGUCAAUCCCCAGCAAUCA